rnacentral:rRNA from 1 species
UACAUAGGGGGCAAGCGUUAUUCGGAAUUAUUGGGCGUAAAGGGCGCGUAGGCGGCUUGGCAAGUGGAUGGUGAAAUCCCUCGGCUUAACCGAGGAACUGCCGUCCAAACUGCUUCGCUUGAGACCGGGAGAGGUGAGUGGAAUUCCCAGUGUAGCGGUGAAACGCGUAGAUAUUGGGAGGAACACCAGUGGCGAAGGCGGCUCACUGGACCGGUACUGACGCUGAUGCGCGAAAGCGUGGGGAGCAAACGGG